AUCAAACAAAAUAAGAAGUACGAGGAGUGAAUCCCAAAAAAUCGUUAGAGAAUUACAGUCGUAGGUUUGUUGUCACCAGGAAGAAAAGAUUCCAAAAAAAUUCAGAACGGAAUCAAGAAAGGCCAUAAUGCUAGAGUUAAUUCGUAUGCAUCCCUAGCAGUGAUUCCUAGUAAAGGAAAGGAAGGUUUUUUGGCCAUUCAAACCAAGAACCAUGACAACCAUGUGCUUAAUUCGAAGGAAUUUAAUGUCCAUUAUUCCAAGGAUUUCAUAUUCCAUAAUUCCAAGGUAGAUGUAGGUCUUACAAGUGACAAGGAAAUUUUUACCAUGCACUCAAGUGGGGAACGUGUGUUCAUUCCAGCAAUUAACAUAAGUGUUAUUUAAGGGCCACAUAAUGAAGAAUUAUGAAGACACUCCUGGAUCAAACAACAUGUAGAUUAAUAAGGAAGUAGAGCAACCUCCAGAUUUCUAACAAAUACAGGCC
rnacentral:lncRNA from 1 species